rnacentral:rRNA from 1 species
CUUGACCUCAAAUCGAGUAGGACUACCCGCUGAACUUAAGCAUAUCAAUAAGCGGAGGAAAAGAAACUAACAAGGAUUCCCCUAGUAACGGCGAGUGAAGAGGGAAGAGCUCAAAUUUUGAAUCUGGCGUCUUYGGCGUCCGAAUUGUAAUCUAGAGAAGUGUUUUCCGUGACGGACCGUGCAUAAGUCUCCUGGAAUGGAGUGUCAUAGAGGGUGAGAAUCCCGUAUAUGGCACGGACUCCCGUUGCUCUGCGAUACACUCUCGACGAGUCGAGUUGUUUGGGAAUGCAGCUCUAAAUGGGUGGUAAAUGCCAUCUAAAGCUAAAUAUUGGCGAGAGACCGAUAGCGAACAAGUACCGUGAGGGAAAGAUGAAAAGCACUUUGGAAAGAGAGUGAAACAGUACGUGAAAUUGUUGAAAGGGAAACGCUUGAAGUCAGUCGCGCCGUUCGGGAUUCAGCCUUGCUUCUGCUUGGUUUACUUCCCGUUGGGUGGGUCAACAUCAGUUUCGGUCGGAGGAGAAAGGCUUGGGGAAGGUGGCAGCAUUCGUGCUGUGUUAUAGCCCCUUGUUGUAUACUUCGACUGGGACUGAGGACCGCAGCACGCCUUUGGCCGGGGUUCGCCCACGUACGUGCUUAGGAUGUUGGCAUAAUGGCUUUAAGCGACCCGUCUUGAAACACGG